rnacentral:lncRNA from 1 species
UGCAGCUUUGCAGGGCUCACAUGUUUUGUACGUGAGCACAUCUAGUCUAGACUAUGCUCUGUUACAUUUUCAUCAAGCCAAGGGAAUCAAUGCAAAGAGCUUGGCUUCCUCUGUCUACUGACAGCACAGAUAACCAGACGCCAGUCCUGGUCGUUAACCUAAGCCAGGCCGCCCAGGAGAAGGGAGGCCCUAUCCUGAACGCCAUGGACAGGCAGGUCCCUCCUGUCACGAAUAUUGUUUCACAGGAAGCACCAAUGUGGGCGACCAGCUUCCAACUGGGCAGCUGUCGGUGGUGCCUUGGCGACGGACUGGGGUGAAAUAUACCAACAACGAGGCCUAUUUCGACGUGGUUGAAGAGAUAGACGCCAUCAUUGACAAAUCAG